rnacentral:rRNA from 1 species
AUUAAUACAAUGGAGAGUUUGAUCCUGGCUCAGGAUGAACGCUAGCGGCAGGCCUAACACAUGCAAGUCGAGGGGCAG